rfam:Formosa sp. Hel1_33_131, complete genome.
UAUAUUUGCAACUUAAUUACGAUAGACGUAGUUAACGCAUAAAAAUUAUUUAAAUAAUAUUGGAAUG